rnacentral:lncRNA from 1 species
UGACCAUCAUAUAUGUGCAAUAUGCUGUAACUGACAAGCAGAUAAUACCGAGUGAGUUUGUGUACAUAACUUACAGAGCACUGCUUAAUUUACAAUAUCAAUAAAGAAAAGAUUGGAAGUGCUCAUUUAUUCAACAACAUAGGUGAAAGUACUCCACACAAAACAUGCAUUUGCACUGCUACUGGUUGGGACCUAAAAGUGAGAGAAGAAAAGCCCUGUAGUGGCCAGAUGUUUCCGAGUGAACUGCAUCAUUCAGCGUCUUCUUGUAUUUCUUUAGAUAUUCAGCUUUUAUAUAAUGUAGAUCUAUCUCACUCCUGGUUACAAUCACCCUCAUAAGUUUCGUGUCAUCGGUCCCGAGACCUUUCAUUGCCUUACGUAG